rnacentral:rRNA from 1 species
GCUCGUAGUUGGAUCUCGGCGGACAGAAGUCGGUCCGAAUGCUUUCGGUACUGGCUUGUUUGUCCGUGUGUUUUGCCAGAGGCAGGCGGGUGCUCUUCGCCGAGUGUCCGUCUGUGCUGGCAGGUUUACUUUGAAAAAAUUAGAGUGCUCAAAGCAAGCUCUCACGCUUGAAUAUCCGUGCAUGGAAUAAUAGAAUAGGAUGUCGUUUCUAUUUUGUUGGUUUUCGGAAAUCGACAUAAUGAUUAAUAGGGACAGUCGGGGGCAUUUGUAUUCAAACGACAGAGGUGAAAUUCUUGGACCGUUUGGAGACAAACUACUGCGAAAGCAUUUGCCAAGAAUGUUUUCAUUAAUCAAGAACGAAAGUUAGAGGUUCGAAGGCGAUUAGAUACCGCCCUAGUUCUAACCAUAAACGAUGCCAGCUAGCGAUCUGCAGGCGUUUUACUUUACGACCUUGCAGGGAGCUUCCGGGAAACCAAAGCUUGUGGGUUCCAGGGGAAGUAUGGUUGCAAAGCUGAAACUUAAAGGAAUUGACGGAAGGGCACCACCAGGAGUGGAGCCUGUGGCUUAAUUUGACUCAACACGGGAAAUCUCACCAGGCCCGGACACGAGAAGGAUUGACAGAUUGAUAGCUCUUUCUUGAUUUCGUGGGUGGUGGUGCAUGGCCGUUCUUAGUUGGUGGAGUGAUUUGUCUGGUUAAUUCCGAUAACGAACGAGACUCUGUCCUGCUAACUAGUGUCUGCUUCUUUUCUGAGCAGAUUAUUCUUCUUAGAGGGAC